rnacentral:rRNA from 1 species
UAGGGAAUCUUCCGCAAUGGGCGAAAGCCUGAUGGAGCAACGCCGCGUGUGUGAUGAAGGGUUUCGGCUCGUAAAACACUGUUGUAAGAGAAGAAUGACAUUGAGAGUAACUGUUCAAUGUGUGACGGUAUCUUGCCAGAAAGGAACGGCUAAAUACGUGCAAG